CUGAGACCGGAGCUUCCGGGUGCGGCUGCCCGGCCGGGACGGGUCCGUCCAGCUGCGCGGGGCCCGGGGCGGCGGCGGCGGAGCAGCGCCCGGGGGGGAUUCCCAGCCCCCUUCCCCCACGACCUGCUGUUCCAGAUGAGGCGAGGGGAAGGGCCCUGUGCCCCGCAUCUCCAGGACUCCACGCAAAGGGUGGUCCUGAGGGGAACCCGUGCAGGUGAGGAAUGCGGGAGAUCAGUUUGGGCUUUAGAAGGAAGAGUUGCAUCCUGAAUCGAUCCUAAAAAGCCAUGUGUUUUGAGAGUGGCUAAAUAAAAUCCCAGACACAGCUUA